AGCAGAAUGAAGGUCAAGCUGAAGACUUUACCAGACAAGCUGAGAGGUGGUGCAUGGCCGUCGCCAGCUCGUGCCGUGAGAUGUCCUGUUAAGUCAGGUAACGAGCGAGAUCCCUGCCACUAGUUGCUAUCAUUAUUCUCAGGAAUAGUGGGGCGAAUUAGUGGGACUGCCGUUGUUAAAACGGAGGAAGGAGGGGGCUACGGCAGGUCAGUAUGCCCCGAAACUCUGGGGCCACACGCGGGCUGCAAUGGUAGUGACAAUGGGCUCCUAACUCGAAAGAGAGAGGCAAUCCACAAACACUACCACAGUUAUGACUGAGGGCUGUAACUCGCCCUCACGAAUAUGGAAUCCCUAGUAACUGCGUGUCAUUACCGCGCGGUGAAUACGUCCCUGCUCCUUGCACACACCGCCCGUCGUUUCAUCGAAGUUUGCUUUUAGCGAGGUGAUGUUUAAUUGACAUUAUCGAACUUGAGGUAAGUGACGAGGGAAAAGUCGUAACAAGGUGACCGUAGGGGAACCUGCGGUCG
rnacentral:rRNA from 1 species